rnacentral:tRNA from 1 species
GAUUCUGUGGCGCACUGGAUUAGCGCGCUGGACUUCUAAUCCAGAGGUUCCGGGUUCGAGUCCCGGCGGGGAUG